UUUAGGCUUAGGCUUAGGCUUAGGCUUAGGCUUAAGCAUAGGCUUAGAGUUAGGCUUAGUGUUAUGCUUAGGCUUAGGCUUAAGAUUAGACCUAGGCUUAGG
ensembl:ncRNA Y49E10.31 ncRNA